GAUCCUGGCUCAGGAUGAACGCUAGCUACAGGCUUAACACAUGCAAGUCGAGGGGAAACGAUAUUGGAAGCUUGCUUCCGAUAGGCGUCGACCGGCGCACGGGUGAGUAACGCGUAUCCAACCUGCCCACCACUUGGGGAUAACCUUGCGAAAGUAAGACUAAUACCCAAUGACGUCUCUAGAAGACAUCUGAAAAGAGAUUAAAAGAUUUAUCGCUGAAAGAUGGCCUCGCGUCUGAUUAG
rnacentral:rRNA from 1 species